GAUGAACGCUGGCGGCGUGCCUAAUACAUGCAAGUAGAACGCUGAAGGAAGGAGCUUGCUCUUUCCGGAUGAGUUGCGAACGGGUGAGUAACGCGUAGGUAACCUGCCUGGUAGCGGGGGAUAACUAUUGGAAACGAUAGCUAAUACCGCAUAACAGUAGAUGUUGCAUGAUAUCUACUUAAAAGGUGCAAUUGCACCACUACCAGAUGGACCUGCGUUGUAUUAGCUAGUUGGUGAGGUAACGGCUCACCAAGGCGACGAUACAUAGCCGACCUGAGAGGGGGAUCGGCCACACUGGGACUGAGACACGGCCCAGACUCCUACGGGAGGCAGCAGUAGGGAAACUUCGGCAAUGGACGGAAGUCUGACCGAGCAAAGCCGCGUGAGUGAAGAAGGUUUUCGGAUCGGAAAGCUCUGUUGUAAGAGAAGAACGAGUGUGAGAGUGGAAAGUUCACACUGUGACGGUAUCUUACCAGAAAGGGACGGCUAACUACGUG
rnacentral:rRNA from 1 species